UACAGAGGCCUCUAGCGUUAGGCGGAAUCACUGGGCUUAAAGCGUGUGUAGGCGGGUCGUUAAGUGCCUUGUGAAAUCCCCUGGCUCAACCAGGGAACUGCUUGGCAUACUGGCGAUCUUGAGCCACCUAGGGGCAACUGGAACAGACGGUGGAGCGGUGAAAUGCGUAGAUAUCGUCUGGAACGCCAAUGGUGAAGACAGGUUGCUGGGGGUGCGCUGACGCUGAGACACGAAAGCCAGGGGAGCAAACGGGAUUAGAUACCCCGGUAGUCCUGGCCCUAAACGAUGUCCACUAGAUCGUGGUGCUUUUGACGGUGUCAUGGUCGAAGUAAAAAUGUUAAGUGGACCGCCUGGGAAGUACGGUCGCAAGGCUAAA
rnacentral:rRNA from 1 species